rnacentral:pre_miRNA from 12 species
CGCGUCUCCAGGGCAACCGUGGCUUCGAUUGUUACUGUGGGAACCGGAGGUAACAGUCUACAGCCAUGGUCGCCCCGCAACAGG